CAGGAUACCCAGUUAAAUUUGAAUUUCAAAUAAAUAACAAAUAAUGUUUUAAUGUAAAUAUAUUCUAAAUAUUACAUGGGACAUAUUUAUGCUAAAAUUUCAUUCUUUGUUGAUCUAAAAUUCCAGCUUAACUUGGCAUCUUAUA
rnacentral:miRNA from 1 species